rnacentral:snoRNA from 1 species
GGAGCUAAAACAGCAAAUGUUCGGUAUUUCCUGCUGAGCGUUUGAAGAAAACACUCCUAGAGCAUAUUUUUGGUUUGACAUUCGCUUUACGCU